GAUGAACGCUGGCGGCGUGCCUAAUACAUGCAAGUCGAGCGAACAGAUGAGGAGCUUGCUCCUCUGACGUUAGCGGCGGACGGGUGAGUAACACGUGGAUAACCUACCUAUAAGACUGGGAUAACUUCGGGAAACCGGAGCUAAUACCGGAUAAUAUAUUGAACCGCAUGGUUCAAUAGUGAAAGACGGUUUUGCUGUCACUUAUAGAUGGAUCCGCGCCGCAUUAGCUAGUUGGUAAGGUAACGGCUUACCAAGGCAACGAUGCGUAGCCGACCUGAGAGGGUGAUCGGCCACACUGGAACUGAGACACGGUCCAGACUCCUACGGGAGGCAGCAGUAGGGAAUCUUCCGCAAUGGGCGAAAGCCUGACGGAGCAACGCCGCGUGAGUGAUGAAGGUCUUCGGAUCGUAAAACUCUGUUAUUAGGGAAGAACAAAUGUGUAAGAAACUAUGCACGUCUUGACGGUACCUAAUCAGAAAGCAACGGCUAACUACGUG
rnacentral:rRNA from 1 species